GCCUUAGUGGAUCAUGGCGAUCACCUCACUUUCAUCGUAAUGGGAUCAAUGAGUAUGAACAGUAACGGGGAGGAGGAGGUUCAAUUCCUCCCUAAGGCA